UCAGCCAGUCGCUCACAUAACAAUAGAAUGCAGCACAUGAUUGAAGAGACAACCAAUUUGCUAGUUACAGCAUUAGCGUGCGCACGCCCUGGAAAGAGAGCAGAGUAGAAAGGCAGUUUGUCAGUUACAGCAGCACGUCCCCUGGACGAUAAAGAAGAGGGUGGUCAGGCUUCUCACCUACGAGACGGGGGUGGUAAGGUGAUGAAGCGUACUUCACGAGCUGUAACUGAAACUGGCAUUUGGAAAGUUUGAGAUCCCAUGCCCUUCCAAUGGAAAGCUACAGGUCCUAUGCAAUUCCAUCUCGCAGACUGCAAUUCCUAUGGCUUCAACUAGAUGUCAACCCUCUUUGUUUAAGGUUUCAGGCUUGUUUCUUCCAAAACGAAACCUGAGCCCUAGGACCAUACGUCGGGACUACCGGCCGUGGUGACUCCUUGCUGCCCCCAGUCCGCCUGGCCUUGCUGCUAUUCCAGUUUCAACUCUUCUGCCUGCGGUUAUGGAACCCCUACCUGUCCCAGACCUGCUGUUUUCAACUCUUAAUGAUCGGCUAUGAAAAGCCAACUGAGAUUUAUUCCUGAUUAUUAUUUGACCAUGCUUGUCAUUUAUGAACAUUUUGAAAAUCUUGGCUCUCUCUAAUUUUCUCCUUCUCUCUUUCUUUCUCUCGGAGGACCUGGGCCCUAGGACCAUGCGUCGGGACUGCCGCCCGUGGUGACUCCUUGCUGUCCCCAGUCCGCCUGGCCUUGCUGCUAUUCCAGUUUCAGCUGUUCUGCCUGCGGUUAUGGAACCGCCACCUGUCCCAGACCUGUUGUUUUUCAACUCUUAAUGAUCAGCUAUGAAAAGCCAACUGAAAGUUAUUCAUGAUUAUUAUUUGACCAUGCUUGUCACUUAUGAACAUUUUUGAACAUCUUGGCAUAGUUCUGUUAUAAUCUCCACCCGGCACAGCCAGAAGAGGACUGGCCACCCCUCAUAGCCUGGUUCCUCUCUAGGUUUCUUCCUAGGUUUUGGCCUUUCUAGGGAGUUUUUCCUAGCCACCGUGCUUCUACACCUGCAUUCUAGCUGUUUGGGGUUUUAGGCUGGGUUUCUGUACAGCACUUCGAGAUAUUAUCUGAUGUACGAAGGGCUAUAUAAAAUAAAAUUGAUUGAUUGAACUAUUUAAAAAGUAAUUUCAAACAAAAACCAAUAGUUGCAAACCAUACAACUAUGCACAAGGACUACUUUUAGCAAUUUCCACUGAGAAUUUUACAAAAACACAUUUACUCGAAGAACAGUGCAAAUGCAAAGUUUGGUAACAUUAUUACAGAACAAACCGCACAACCCGUCAUUCUGUUACCAAACUUUGCAUACGUAAAAAAAUAUAUAUAAUAAUCAGAUUAACUGAAAUCGGAACCUUAUCACUUUCACUGUUACCGUGGAUUUGCAAAUAAUGACAUAGAAAAUAUUUAUUUUGACUAACAUAAGGCGUUCCCCAAAUGGUGAACUCGGUUCUUUUGAAAACUUCAGUCACAAUCUGACAGAUUUGAUCAGCAAAUCAAGUGAGAAAGCCACCUAACUGUUAACGUUAACAAGCCAGUUCUAACCAUCUUGCAAGCUACAACCAAAACCAUAUCUAUAUUUUGUAUUUAUCUUAUAACUAAAAGGGCUACGCUAUGGGUACAUAACCAGAGAACCUCUACAACCUGUUAGCAAGCUAGCGUUACUGUAAUUAGCUAACUGGGUAGCCUAGCAGUCCACUUACUUUAG